AUUGAACGCUGGCGGCAUGCUUUACACAUGCAAGUCGGACGGUAACAGGCCGCAAGGUGCUGACGAGUGGCGAACGGGUGAGUAAUGCAUCGGAACGUGCCCAGUCGUGGGGGAUAACGCAGCGAAAGCUGUGCUAAUACCGCAUACGAUCUAUGGAUGAAAGCGGGGGACCGUAAGGCCUCGCGCGAUUGGAGCGGCCGAUGUCAGAUUAGGUAGUUGGUGGGGUAAAGGCUCACCAAGCCAACGAUCUGUAGCUGGUCUGAGAGGACGACCGGCCAAACUGGGACGGAGACACGACCCAGACUCCUACGGGAGGCAGCAGUGGGGAAUUUUGGACAAUGGGCGCAAGCCUGAUCCAGCAAUGCCGCGUGCAGGAAGAAGGCCUUCGGGUUGUAAACCGCUUUUGUCAGGGAAGAAACGCUCUGAGUUAAUACCUCGGGAGGAUGACGGUACCUGAAGAAUAAGCAUCGGCUAACUACGUGCCAGCAGCCGCGGUAA
rnacentral:rRNA from 1 species